UAACACAUGCAAGUCGAACGGUAACAUUUCUAGCUUGCUAGAAGAUGACGAGUGGCGGACGGGUGAGUAAUGCUUGGGAACUUGCCUUCAGGAGGGGGAUAACAGUUGGAAACGACUGCUAAUACCGCAUAACGUCUACGGACCAAAGCGGGCUUCGGCUCGCACCUGAAGAGAGGCCCAAGUGAGAUUAGCUAGUUGGUAAGGUAAAGGCUUACCAAGGCGACGAUCUCUAGCUGUUCUGAGAGGAAGAUCAGCCACACUGGGACUGAGACACGGCCCAGACUCCUACGGGAGGCAGCAGUGGGGAAUAUUGCACAAUGGGGGGAACCCUGAUGCAGCCAUGCCGCGUGUGUGAAGAAGGCCUUCGGGUUGUAAAGCACUUUCAGUUGUGAGGAAAGGUUGGUAGUUAAUACCUGCCAGCUGUGACGUUAACAACAGAAGAAGCACCGGCUAACUCCGUGCCAGCAGCCGCGGUAAUACGGAGGGUGCGAGCGUUAAUCGGAAUUACUGGGCGUAAAGCGCACGCAGGCGGCUUGUUAAGCUAGAGGUGAAAGCCCCGCGCUCAACGUGGGAACUGCCUUUAGAACUGGCAGGCUAGAGUCUUGGAGAGGGGAGUGGAAUUCCAGGUGUAGCGGUGAAAUGCGUAGAUAUCUGGAGAAACAUCAGUGGCGAAGGCGGCUCCCUGGCCAAAGACUGACGCUCAUGUGCGAAAGUGUGGGUAGCGAACAGGAUUAGAUACCCUGGUAGUCCACACCGUAAACGCUGUCUACUAGCUGUUUGUGAAUUUAAUUCGUGAGUAGCGAAGCUAACGCGCUAAGUAGACCGCCUGGGGAGUACGGCCGCAAGGUUAAAACUCAAAUGAAUUGACGGGGGCCCGCACAAGCGGUGAGCAUGUGUUUAAUUCGAUGCAACGCGAAGAACCUUACCUACACUUGACAUGCAGAGAACUUUCCAGAGAUGGAUUGGUGCCUUCGGGAACUCUGACACAGUGCUGCAUGGCUGUCGUCAGCUCGUGUCGGGAGAUGUGGAUAGUCCCGCAACGAGCGCAACCCUUGUCUUAGUGCCAGCAUUAAGUGGGCACUC
rnacentral:rRNA from 1 species